UAGGGAAUCUUCGGCAAUGGGGGGAACCCUGACCGAGCAACGCCGCGUGGGUGAAGAAGGUUUUCGGAUCGUAAAGCUCUGUUGUUAAGGAAGAACGAGUGUGAGAAUGGAAAGUUCAUGCUGUGACGGUACUUAACCAGAAAGGGACGGCUAACUACGUGCCAGCAGCCGCGGUAAUACGUAGGUCCCGAGCGUUGUCCGGAUUUAUUGGGCGUAAAGCGAGCGCAGGCGGUUAGAAAAGUCUGAAGUGAAAGGCAGUGGCUCAACCAUUGUAGGCUUUGGAAACUGUUUAACUUGAGUGCAGAAGGGGAGAGUGGAAUUCCAUGUGUAGCGGUGAAAUGCGUAGAUAUAUGGAGGAACACCGGUGGCGAAAGCGGCUCUCUGGUCUGUAACUGACGCUGAGGCUCGAAAGCGUGGGGAGCGAACAGG
rnacentral:rRNA from 1 species